rnacentral:tRNA from 1 species
GCCGUGGUGGUGUAGUGGUUAUAACACACCGGUGGUCUUAACACGUGCGCAGUCAUUCGUUGUUACUCAACGCCGUGUCAGUCUAGAUCCGAGGAGGUCGGGGGUUCGAUUCCUUCCCAUGGUG